rnacentral:rRNA from 1 species
GGGUGACAGGUGGUGCAUGGUUGUCGUCAGCUCGUGUCGUGAGAUGUUGGGUUAAGUCCCGCAACGAGCGCAACCCUCGACCUUAGUUGCCAGCAUUCAGUUGGGCACUCUAAGGUGACUGCCGGCUAAAAGUCGGAGGAAGGUGGGGGAUGACGUCAAAUCAUCAUGCCCCUUAUGACCUGGGCUACACACGUGCUACAAUGGGCGGUACAAAGGGUCGCGAACCCGCGAGGGGGAGCCAAUCCCAAAAAGCCGCUCUCAGUUCGGAUUGCAGGCUGCAACUCGCCUGCAUGAAGCCGGAAUCGCUAGUAAUCGCGGAUCAGCAUGCCGCGGUGAAUACGUUCCCGGGCCUU